rnacentral:rRNA from 1 species
UACGUAGGGUGCGAGCGUUAAUCGGAAUUACUGGGCGUAAAGUGUGCGCAGGCGGCCGCGCAAGUCGAGUGUGAAAGCCCCGGGCUUAACUUGGGAAUUGCGCUCGAAACUACGUGGCUGGAGUGUGGCAGAGGAAGGUGGAAUUCCAGGUAUAGCGGUGAAAUGCGUAGAGAUGUGGAGGAACACCGAUGGCGAAGGCAGCCCCCUGGGCUGAGAUUGACGCUCAGGCACGAAAGCGUGGGGAGCAAACAGG